rnacentral:lncRNA from 1 species
GCAGCCAUAACUUUGAGUGUAAAUACCAUACAUCAUAUCCCCAUAGGUUCUUUAGAAUUUUGCUGAGUUUUUAAGGGUGUGUUAGGUAUCUCGUUAGCAAAAUGGAGAUUUGGUUAACAGAGGCCUGGUAAUUUAGUUUUGAAUAAAAAUGGGUUUAUAGUAGUUGAUAUGUUUAGUUAUUUUAUUGCUAAAGUGAAUUUGGUAGAUAGAUGUUGUUAGGUCGUUGUAACCUUAAUGACCUCUAGUUGUAUGAUUACCAAAUUGGUAUAUGAAUAUUGAUAAAGAUGAGGCAAUAAACAAUAAAUUUUGGUAUUAUGGUAAG